rnacentral:misc_RNA from 1 species
UCUCUCUCUCUCUCUCUCUCUCUGUGUGUUUGUAUAUAUCAUUGUUUGUCACUCUUUCUGUGUGUUUGGAACUGAGGCAACACUAGAGAGAAAUUAAAGAGGUUUGUUUCUUGUUGUUGGUUCAAGAUGGAGGGAGGGAUACAUGCCGGCACAGAUACCUCUGCUUUUAGGGAUUGCUUCUCUCUGGCUUGGAAGAAUCCUUAUGUUCUUCGCCUUGCUUUCUCUGCUGGCAUUGGUGGCCUUCUCUUCGGCUAUGACACAGGAGUGAUUUCUGGUGCCCUUCUUUACAUUAGAGAUGACUUUAAGUCCGUGGACAGGAAAACUGUACUCCAGGAGAGCAUUGUGAGCAUGGCAGUUGCCGGAGCAAUCAUCGGAGCAGCAAUUGGUGGAUGGUUAAAUGAUCGGUAUGGAAGAAGAAAGGCAAUCCUCGUUGCAGAUUUCCUAUUCUUCAUUGGAGCUGUAAUCAUGGCUGCUUCUCCUGGCCCAGCUCUUCUCAUCGUUGGUCGAGUUUUCGUUGGACUAGGUGUUGGAAUGGCAUCAAUGACAUCUCCUCUCUACAUUUCAGAGGCUUCUCCUGCAAAAAUCAGAGGUGCCCUUGUUAGUACUAAUGGAUUUCUCAUCACUGGUGGCCAGUUUCUUUCAUAUCUCAUCAACUUGGCCUUUACAGAGGCACCUGGGACAUGGCGGUGGAUGCUUGGUGUUGCAGGACUUCCAGCUUUUCUUCAGUUCAUUCUUAUGCUAAUGCUCCCAGAAUCACCCCGUUGGCUAUAUCGAAAGGGAAGGGAAGAAGAAGCCAAAGCCAUACUGAGCAAAAUAUAUCCAGCUGAUGAAGUUGAAUCAGAAAUCCGAGACCUUAAGGCCUCCGUUGACAAAGAAAUUGAGGAAGAAGGAAAUUCUGAGAAGAUUAACAUUAUCAAACUAUGUAAAACCAGAACUGUGAGGAGAGGACUAACUGCUGGUGUUGGCCUUCAGGUUUUCCAGCAGUUUGUGGGAAUUAAUACAGUUAUGUAUUAUAGUCCCACCAUAGUUCAGUUGGCUGGUUUUGCGUCUAACCGAACUGCUCUGCUGCUUUCACUUGUCACUGCUGGUCUCAAUGCAUUCGGUUCUGUUGUGAGCAUAUACUUCAUUGACAGGACCGGAAGGAAGAAGCUUCUCAUUGCCAGUUUGGUUGGUGUGAUACUUUCACUUGGUCUUUUAUCAGGAAUUUUCCAUGAGUCUACAACUCACUCACCGAUGGUUAAAGCUGCUGAAGCUCGCUAUGGAAAUUAUACCUGCCCUGAUUACAGUUUGGAAACAAAUACUGCUUCUUGGGAUUGUAUGAAGUGCUUGAAGGCCACACAUCCGGAAUGUGGGUUUUGUGCUGCAGCUUCUGAUAAGCUACUGCCUGGAGCAUGUUUGGUCUCAAAUGACACUGUGAAGGAUCUUUGUCAUGGAGACCACAGGGAAUGGUACACCAGGGGAUGUCCUAGCAAAUAUGGAUGGGUUGCACUAUUUGGCUUGGCACUCUACAUCAUAUUCUUCUCUCCUGGAAUGGGUACUGUCCCAUGGAUUGUCAACUCUGAGAUCUACCCUUUAAGGUUCAGAGGGGUUUGUGGAGGAAUAGCUGCCACAGCAAACUGGAUCUCAAACCUUAUAGUUGCCCAGUCUUUCCUAUCCUUGACGCAGACCAUAGGGACUUCUUGGACAUUCCUAAUGUUUGGGGUUAUAUCAAUAAUAGCUUUGAUCUUUGUCCUGGUGUAUGUGCCUGAAACAAAGGGGCUACCAAUAGAGGAGGUUGAGAAGAUGCUGGAACUCAGAUCUCUGCACUACAAGUUCUGGGAGAAGAC